GGAUCGCCCCUCGGACUCCGUCCCGACCGCCCCGGCAGGUGUCUUGUCACAGUAUCGCCAGCGGGUUUCUAUUGCCAACCAGCGGCUUUGCUCGGUAUGUACACACACACUGUGCACGGACAUGGACGCACUCCCAGGACACCAUCCCAAGAAAACCCCAUCCCAACAAAUUCCUGUCCCAUGAAGCAUUGGAUGGCCAGGCCUGAAGGCAUUUGCACACCUUGCACAGCACUUGCAGAGUUUGCACAGCUUUUGCACAGCCUUUGCACGGGGCUUGCACAGCCUGUACAUGGAGUUGGCUUGGCUUGCAUGGCAUUUGCACACUCAGCGUGUUACACAGGCCCUUGCACACACCACCCCCAGCAGUCAGUGACCCCCUAACCCAGCUGGGGCAGGAGGCAGAGGAAGGGCUCGCAGAGGAAGGAUUCAUUAACUGUUAUUCUUCUGUCAGUCUCUUAUUAAAUCCAGCCUGAUGUUACUCAGAUACUAAAGGUCGUUUUAAAAACCAUCUGACAAGACCUCCCAGACCUCAGGCCUCACUCCCCCCUGGCCAGGGUGCUGAGACUCCACUCGGGAGCCCUCCCAGAACCAGAACAUGGAGCAGGGCUCAGUGCUCAGGGCAUCUCUUCCCAAAGAUGGGAAGGCUGAAAAGCACUGUCUGUUCCUGUCCCACUUAAUCCCACCUCAAAGCACAGCCCCAGGCUCCAAACUGUGCUCCUGAUGCUCCCAUUGAAGCCUAUGGCAGCACUCAGGGCUGCCCAAGGAAGGUCAGCAAAAGGAUGGAAGGAUGAUGGGCUGGAAAGGACUGUUGAAAGUUAUCCAUAAACCUCUGGGCUUCUUGAAAUGGUUUCUGGAGCAUAUUGCCUGGAAUCGUUUCACACAGUCAGUUUUAUGUAAAACAGUGAAAGGUAUAAAAAUGGUGAGUGUGGGCCUAGCAUCAAGCCCCCAAAUCUGUACAUCCUCCUGCAGGUUGGGGUGCAUGUACCUGCCACACAUGUGGAGCCCCAGGCUCCACCAAAUCCCCUGGCACUGGAACUGUCACUGUCACUGCAUUUUUGAUGUGUAUGUUUCAAAAAUUAAAGUUACAUUGAUGCAACAGA